rnacentral:lncRNA from 1 species
CUUAGAGGUAAGUGAAAUUUCUCACCCUUGAGGAAGAGAGAAAGAAUGGGUGAACAUUUCAAAAAACAAUGUGUUAUUGUUUUGAUUUAUUUUGUUUUUAUUUCAAGUUGCCUGUUCCUAGAACUUUCUCAGGCAAACUGGGGAAAAUGGGUGACUCAAGGUUUGAAUUUGUUCGCCUCCGAGCAAGAGAAAUUGUUAGAGGAAGGAGGCACCCCAGUGAGACCAAGAACAAUUAGGGCAUAUGUUGAUACAAUACAAAAAUGUAGCCCAUGGCUUUUUAAAGACGAG